CAGCCGUAAACAAUGUGCGUUAGGUGUGUCGGUAACCACGUGUUACUGAUGCGCCGAAGAGAAAUCGUGAAACGCACCACCUGGGAAGUACGGUCGCAAGGCUGAAACUUAAAGGAAUUGGCGGGGGAGCACCACAACAGGUGGAGCCUGCGGUUUAAUUGGAUUCAACGCCGGAAAUCUCACCGGAUAGGACAGACAUAUGAUAGUCGGGCUGAAGACUCUACUUGAUGAUCUGAGAGGAGGUGCAUGGCGUCAGUG
rnacentral:rRNA from 1 species